GAGGGUACAGCUCAGUGGUAGAGUGCAUGCCUAGCACACACGAGGUCAUGGGUUCGAUCCCCAGUACCUCCA
rnacentral:tRNA from 1 species